rfam:Drosophila ananassae retrotransposon R2 reverse transcriptase gene, partial cds.
ACUUAAUCAUGCACCACGAACAUAUUGAUGAAAGCUUGCUGCCGUAGCAUAACACCUAAAAACGGCAUAAAAUUCGCAUAAAACGAGGCGGUUUUUAGUACGUAGGCAUCUCUGGGGGGAGGAUAUCCACCCCAAUGAUGAAUCGUGCAUGCACACUCACAUAGGCCAAACAAGAACUACCGGCCGAGUGUGUAUCUUUUGAGAUUUUACGACCUUAGCGAC